rnacentral:rRNA from 1 species
CAGCCGCCGCGGUAAUACAGAGGGUGCGAGCGUUAAUCGGAUUUACUGGGCGUAAAGCGUGCGUAGGCGGCUUUUUAAGUCGGAUGUGAAAUCCCUGAGCUUAACUUAGGAAUUGCAUUCGAUACUGGGAAGCUAGAGUAUGGGAGAGGAUGGUAUAAUUCCAGGUGUAGCGGUGAAAUGCGUAGAGAUCUGGAGGAAUACCGAUGGCGAAGGCAGCCAUCUGGCCUAAUACUGACGCUGAGGUACGAAAGCAUGGGGAGCAAACAGGAUUAGAUACCCCUGUAGUCCCUGUCUCUUAUAC